rnacentral:rRNA from 1 species
AACGAACGCUGGCGGCAGGCCUAACACAUGCAAGUCGAACGAAGUCUUCGGACUUAGUGGCGGACGGGUGAGUAACACGUGGGAACGUGCCUUUAGGUUCGGAAUAACUCAGGGAAACUUGUGCUAAUACCGAAUGUGCCCUUCGGGGGAAAGAUUUAUCGCCUUUAGAGCGGCCCGCGUCUGAUUAGCUAGUUGGUGAGGUAAAGGCUCACCAAGGCGACGAUCAGUAGCUGGUCUGAGAGGAUGAUCAGCCACAUUGGGACUGAGACACGGCCCAAACUCCUACGGGAGGCAGCAGUGGGGAAUCUUGCGCAAUGGGCGAAAGCUUGACGCAGCCAUGCCGCGUGAAUGAUGAAGGUCUUAGGAUUGUAAAAUUCUUUCACCGGGGACGAUAAUGACGGUACCCGGAGAAGAAGCCCCGGCUAACUUCGUGCCAGCCGCCGCAGUAAUAC